rnacentral:rRNA from 1 species
GCUUUACUGUAGCCUGGGAUUGGGUUCGGGCUUUGCCUGCGCAGGAUAGGUGGGAGACUAUGAAGCAUUGCUUGUGGGCAAUGUGGAGUCAACGGUGAGAUACCACUCUGGCAAGGCUAGGAUUCUAACCUUCACCCGUUAACCGGGGAGGGGACACUUUCAGGUGGGCAGUUUGACUGGGGCGGUCGCCUCCUAAAAGGUAACGGAGGCGCACAAAGGUUCCCUCAGGUUGGUUGGAAAUCAACCGGAGAGUGCAAAGGCAGAAGGGAGCUUGACUGUGAGACAGACAAGUCAAACAGGGUGGAAACACGGUCUUAGUGAUCCGACGGUAGUGCGUGGAAGCGCCGUCGCUCAACGGAUAAAAGUUA